UACGUAGGGUGCAAGCGUUGUCCGGAAUUAUUGGGCGUAAAAGAGCUCGUAGGCGGUUUUGUCGCGUCGAAUGUGAAAAACCCCGGGGGCUCAACCCCGGGCCUGCAUUCGAUACGGGGCAGACUAGAGUUCGGUAGGGGGAGUCUGGAAUUCCUGGUGUAGCGGUGAAAAUGCGCAGAUAUCAGGAGGAACACCGGUGGCGAAGGCGGGGACUCUGGGCCGAUACUGACGUGAGGAGCGAAAGCGUGGGGGAGCAAACAGG
rnacentral:rRNA from 1 species